GACGAACGCUGGCGGCGUGCUUAACACAUGCAAGUCGUACGGUAAGGCCCUUUCGGGGGUACACGAGUGGCGAACGGGUGAGUAACACGUGAGUAACCUGCCCACAACUUUGGGAUAACGCUAGGAAACUGGUGCUAAUACUGGAUAUGUGCUCCUGCUGCAUGGUGGGGGUUGGAAAGCUCCGGCGGUUGUGGAUGGACUCGCGGCCUAUCAGCUUGUUGGUGGGGUAGUGGCCUACCAAGGCGGCGACGGGUAGCCGGCCUGAGAGGGUGACCGGCCACAUUGGGACUGAGAUACGGCCCAGACUCCUACGGGAGGCAGCGGUGGGGAAUAUUGCACAAUGGGCGCAAGCCUGAUGCAGCAACGCCGCGUGCGGGAUGACGGCCUUCGGGCUGUAAACCGCUUUCAGCAGGGACGAAGCUUUUUGUGACGGUACCUGCAGAAGAAGCACCGGCUAACUACGUG
rnacentral:rRNA from 1 species